rnacentral:rRNA from 1 species
UACGUAGGGGGCAAGCGUUGUCCGGAUUUAUUGGGCGUAAAGAGCGUGUAGGCGGCCAGGUAGGUCUGCUGUGAAAACUCGAGGCUUAACCUCGAGAUGUCGGCGGAAACCAUCUGGCUAGAGUCCGGAAGAGGAGAAUGGAAUUCCCGGUGUAGCGGUGAAAUGCGCAGAUAUCGGGAAGAACACCCGUGGCGAAGGCGGCAUCCUGGACCAAUACUGACACUGAGGAGCGAAAGCCAGGGGAGCAAACGGG